AGCCCGCUCGCCGGAAGACCAAGGGUUCCUGUCCAACGUUAAUCGGGGCAGGGUGAGUCGACCCCUAAGGCGAGGCCGAAAGGCGUAGUCGAUGGGAAACAGGUUAAUAUUCCUGUACUUGGUGUUACUGCGAAGGGGGGACGGAGAAGGCUAUGUUGGCCGGGCGACGGUUGUCCCGGUUUAAGCGUGUAGGCUGGUUUUCCAGGCAAAUCCGGAAAAUCAAGGCUGAGGCGUGAUGACGAGGCACUACGGUGCUGAAGCAACAAAUGCCCUGCUUCCAGGAAAAGCCUCUAAGCAUCAGGUAACAUCAAAUCGUACCCCAAACCGACACAGGUGGUCAGGUAGAGAAUACCAAGGCGCUUGAGAGAACUCGGGUGAAGGAACUAGGCAAAAUGGUGCCGUAACUUCGGGAGAAGGCACGCUGAUAUGUAGGUGAAGUCCCUCGCGGAUGGAGCUGAAAUCAGUCGAAGAUACCAGCUGGCUGCAACUGUUUAUUAAAAACACAGCACUGUGCAAACACGAAAGUGGACGUAUACGGUGUGACGCCUGCCCGGUGCCGGAAGGUUAAUUGAUGGGGUUAGCGCAAGCGAAGCUCUUGAUCGAAGCCCCGGUAAACGGCGGCCGUAACUAUAACGGUCCUAAGGUAGCGAAAUUCCUUGUCGGGUAAGUUCCGACCUGCACGAAUGGCGUAAUGAUGGCCAGGCUGUCUCCACCCGAGACUCAGUGAAAUUGAACUCGCUGUGAAGAUGCAGUGUACCCGCGGCAAGACGGAAAGACCCCGUGAACCUUUACUAUAGCUUGACACUGAACAUUGAGCCUUGAUGUGUAGGAUAGGUGGGAGGCUUUGAAGUGUGGACGCCAGUCUGCAUGGAGCCGACCUUGAAAUACCACCCUUUAAUGUUUGAUGUUCUAACGUUGACCCGUAAUCCGGGUUGCGGACAGUGUCUGGUGGGUAGUUUGACUGGGGCGGUCUCCUCCUAAAGAGUAACGGAGGAGCACGAAGGUUGGCUAAUCCUGGUCGGACAUCAGGAGGUUAGUGCAAUGGCAUAAGCCAGCUUGACUGCGAGCGUGACGGCGCGAGCAGGUGCGAAAGCAGGUCAUAGUGAUCCGGUGGUUCUGAAUGGAAGGGCCAUCGCUCAACGGAUAAAAGGUACUCCGGGGAUAACAGGCUGAUACCGCCCAAGAGUUCAUAUCGACGGCGGUGUUUGGCACCUCGAUGUCGGCUCAUCACAUCCUGGGGCUGAAGUAGGUCCCAAGGGUAUGGCUGUUCGCCAUUUAAAGUGGUACGCGAGCUGGGUUUAGAACGUCGUGAGACAGUUCGGUCCCUAUCUGCCGUGGGCGCUGGAGAACUGAGGGGGGCUGCUCCUAGUACGAGAGGACCGGAGUGGACGCAUCACUGGUGUUCGGGUUGUCAUGCCAAUGGCACUGCCCGGUAGCUAAAUGCGGAAGAGAUAAGUGCUGAAAGCAUCUAAGCACGAAACUUGC
rnacentral:rRNA from 1 species